AGCUGUGUGAUGGGGUCAGUUCUCUACUUAUUUUGAGGUUCUUAGCUGUGUGAUGGGGUCCAGUUCUCUACUUAUUUUGUGAGGUCUUAGGCUGGUGAUGGGGUCAGUUCUCGUUAUGUGAGGUUCUAGCUUGUGAUGGGGUCAGUUCCUACUUAUUUGUGUGAGGUUCUUAGUGUGUGAUGGGGUUCAGUUCUCUACUUAUUUGUAAGGUUCUUAGCUGUGUGAUGGGGGUCAGUUCUCUACUUAUUUGUAAGGUUCUUAGCAGUGUGACGGGGGUCAGUUCUCUACUUAUUUGUAAGGUUCUUAGCAGUGUGAUGGGGUCAGUCUCUACUUAUUUGUAAGGUUCUUAGCAGUGUGACGGGGGUCAGUUCUCUACUUUUUGUAAGGUUCUUAGCAGUGUGAUGGGGGUCAGUUCCUACUUAUUUGUAAGGUCUUAGCAGUGUGAGGGGUCAGUUCUCUACUUAUUCUUAAGGUUCUUAGCAGUGUGAUGGGUCAGUUCUCUACUUAUCUUAAGGUUCUUAGCAGUGUGAUGGGGGUCAGUUCUCUACUUAUUUGUAAGGUUCUUAGCAGUGUGAUGGGGUUCAGUUCUCUACUUAUUGUAAGGUCUUAGCAGUGUGACGGGGGUCAUUUCUCUACUUAUUUUAAGGUUCUUAGCAGUGAUGGGGGGGUCAGUUCUCUACUUAUUCUUAAGGUUCUUAGCAGUGUGAGGGGUCAGUUCUCUACUUAUUUGUAAGGUUCUUAGCAGUGUGAGGGGGUCAGUUCUCUACUUAUUUGUAAGUUCUUUAGCAGUGGGACGGGGUCACUCCUACUAUUUGUAAGGUUCUUAGCAGGUGACGGGGU
rnacentral:lncRNA from 1 species